GAGUUUGAUCCUGGCUCAGAACGAACGCUGGCGGCAUGCCUAACACAUGCAAGUCGAACGAUCCCUUCGGGGAUAGUGGCGCACGGGUGCGUAACGCGUGGGAAUCUGCCCUUGGGUUCGGAAUAACAGUGAGAAAUUGCUGCUAAUACCGGAUGAUGUCUUCGGACCAAAGAUUUAUUGCCCAGGGAUGAGCCCGCGUAGGAUUAGCUAGUUGGUGGGGUAAUGGCCUACCAAGGCGACGAUCCUUAGCUGGUCUGAGAGGAUGAUCAGCCACACUGGGACUGAGACACGGCCCAGACUCCUACGGGAGGCAGCAGUGGGGAAUAUUGGACAAUGGGCGAAAGCCUGAUCCAGCAAUGCCGCGUGAGUGAUGAAGGCCUUAGGGUUGUAAAGCUCUUUUGGCGGGACGAUGAUGACGGUACCCGCAGAAUAAGCCCCGGCUAACUUCGUGCCAGCAGCCGCAGUAAU
rnacentral:rRNA from 1 species